AUUUGAAUGUUCAAAUCAGUAUCCCCAUAAUUCUCGAUACACAAUAUCAAAAUUAACUACAAAUUGAAAUAAAUUACAACAAUACAACCUGUAAAUAAUUUAAAGCCCAAAAUAUGGGAGAACUAGAAAGGAGAAGGCAGAAAUCAACCUGUAGAACCAACAAUCAAAAAGUAUGUCAUCGAUCAACAAGAAAGAUGUGUGAGUCCCCCUUUGUCGAAAAACCGAUUUCUCUCUUUCCCGUCAGUUUGUGUCAUUCCGGCAACAUGGGAUUGCGAAUCUGUUGAAAAAGUUUCUUUAGGUUGUGACAAGCUGAAUGGAACUUAGACGCAACGAGAAGGUGGCCAGAAAUAGCAGUUUCCAUUCAUGUUUCAUCUUGUGGGUACACGAGUUGACCUAUCACUCACCGCUCAAUUUCUCUAUCAGCGUUGACAUUUCAAGAGUUGCCGGAGUUGCUUGAGGAUGCUAAGGUCGCUGCCAUCACCGGUGGUUGUUGAUCUUGACUAGAAGAAAAUGAACAAAGCGGAA
rnacentral:misc_RNA from 1 species